rnacentral:rRNA from 1 species
UUUAAAUGUAAAUUAAAUUACUAAAUUAGUAAUAGUUAUGUUCUUUAAAUUUAAAGAUUUUGGCGGUAUCUUAGUCUAUUCAGAGGAACCUGUUCUAUAAUUGAUAAUCCACGAUUAAUUAUACUUAAUUUAAAAAUUUGUAUAUCGUCGUUUAUAAAUAAUUUUAAAAGAAUUUAAAUUUUUAAGAUUUUAUAUUAAAAAAUAUAUCAGAUCAAGGUGCAGUUUAUAUUUAAGUAGAAAUGGGUUACAAUAAAUUUAUUUAUAUGGAUUUGUGAAUUAAAUUUUAUAAUGAAGGUGGAUUUGAUUGUAAUAAAAUUUAGUUUAAUUUUAUGAUUUUAGCUCUAAGAUAUGU